AUGUUAGAAAAAAAUUUGGUUAAAAAAUAAGUUGAAUAACAUAUAAAAUAUUGAGAAAUAAAAAAGUUGCUUCCCUCGGCAUUUUCAAUGUCUAGUGGUCAUUUGGCUGGUUUUGUCCAUUUCACUACUAUAGGGGGGGAGGUGUCCAAGGAGGGUGCUAGGCCAAGGUGCUAGCACCUUUGCCCAAGGUGCUAGCAACUUUGGCAAAAGAGGGCCUGCCGCGCCCCCCUGCGGCAGGAAUGGUGGGCCAGUGGUGGCGGGCGGGCGG
rnacentral:lncRNA from 1 species